rnacentral:ncRNA from 1 species
CGUUCACGGCUGGGGUGCCCGUCUGACGGCGGGCUGAGACCACACCCAUCGAACCUGAUCCGGGUCAUGCCGGCGAAGGGAGCCGAGCGCGCCAACGA